AGAGUUUGAUCAUGGCUCAGAACGAACGCUGGCGGCAGGCUUAACACAUGCAAGUCGAGCGCCCGUAGCAAUACGGGAGCGGCAGACGGGUGAGUAACACGUGGGAACGUACCCUUCGGUUCGGAAUAACCCAGGGAAACUUGGAUUAAUACCGGAUACGUCCGUAAGGAGAAAGAUUUAUCGCCGAGGGAUCGGCCCGCGUCCGAUUAGCUUGUUGGUGGGGUAACGGCCCACCAAGGCUACGAUCGGUAGCUGGUCUGAGAGGAUGAUCAGCCACACUGGGACUGAGACACGGCCCAGACUCCUACGGGAGGCAGCAGUGGGGAAUAUUGGACAAUGGGCGCAAGCCUGAUCCAGCCAUGCCGCGUGAGUGAUGAAGGCCCUAGGGUUGUAAAGCUCUUUCGGCGGGGAAGAUAAUGACGGUACCCGCAGAAGAAGCCCCGGCUAACUUCGUGCCAGCAGCCGCGGUAAUACGAAGGGGGCUAGCGUUGCUCGGAAUCACUGGGCGUAAAGCGCACGUAGGCGGCUUACUAAGUCAGGGGUGAAAUCCUGGAGCUCAACUCCAGAACUGCCUUUGAUACUGGUAAGCUCGAGUCCGGGAGAGGUGAGUGGAACUGCGAGUGUAGAGGUGAAAUUCGUAGAUAUUCGCAAGAACACCAGUGGCGAAGGCGGCUCACUGGCCCGGUACUGACGCUGAGGUGCGAAAGCGUGGGGAGCAAACAGGAUUAGAUACCCUAGUAGUCC
rnacentral:rRNA from 1 species